CUCUGCUCUGUAGCCCACGCAUUAUUAACUUUUUUAGUCUUGAGGUACUUGUUUUUAGUAUAUUGUCCAGCGGUUUCAGUUAUAAGAACUGUGAGUGAAAGGCUGUAAUAGGCUUACUACAUGUUUGCUGCUAUCAGAGCUGCAUUCAUUAGGGGAUUCUUAUGCAUAUUCUUUUCUUCUCAGUGGAUCCUUUGUUUAGGAAGUUCAGGCAGUUGUUUUCCUAAGACUCAAGAUUUGAACGUACUAGAUAUUCUAGAGUAGAUGUCUACAUUUUCUGAUUGUACAGAGGUAAGUCAUUUCAGCGCAUAGUUAUAGUAGCAGUUGUUUAUGCUCUGCCUACUCCUUUUCAGUUUCAGAACUGUUCACAAACUAUCUACUCUCAGAUUCACACAGUGGCCCUGCUAGGUAAGGUGCAAGGAUAAUAGCUAGUGUCUGCUAGUAUCAAAAGCUUCAUGGUUGAACUUGCCACUACCCGAACAGAGAAGUUUGAAAAAAGAAUCUGCUCUGACUUUGCUCUAUAGUCCAGCUGAAAAUUUGACUUAAAAAAAACCUGUAAAGGCUGAGAUUGAGUCGCAUGCCACUUCUCACCAAGGACACAAAGGGGUAACACUUUAGUGCAAAGUGCCACUCCUGCCCAGACAACAUAUGGUGCUUGUGUUUGUGCGUUAAAACAUUCCUCAUUGUGCUUCUUUGAUGUGUAUGUGUGUAUUUGUGUAAAAUACCAUAGCCAUGGUGCUGAGAAAAGUUGGUGAUACCAGCGAUAAGCUUAGAGGAAAACUUUCGAGAACCAUGUAGAGUUAAAGCAAGAGUUAAAGAAACAAAUGAUCACAAAACUUGUUAAUGUUCUGGAAAAAUGAAUUUAUAAAUGUAACUUUUAGAUCUCAGAACUAGUGGUUUUCCAUUUUUCUUAUGGGAAAAAUAUGUUUAGUUCUCAAACAUCUUGGUUUUUCAACAUAAAUUUGGAGUAAAUUGAGUUGGAUAACUGAGGUAUCACUGUACUCUGUACGCAGUUUGCUUUGCAAAAUUUUAUUACCUUUCAUUGCUGUGGUUCAUUUGCUGGCACUGUGAACAUUGUUGUAUUAUGUUGCGUGAACUCCACCUUUAUUUAGAUUUUACCUGUUUCCUUUAAUGUCCUUUUCUGUCCAAGGAUCUGAUUCAGGAUUGCAUUACUUAUCAUUUUGCAUUAAUCUUUCUGGACUGUGGUAGUUCCUCAGUUUUUUCUUGUUUCUCAAGACUGAAUAUUUUGAGGAGUUUUGACGAGGUGUUUUGUAGAAUGGCCGACAUUAGGUGUGUAUGUUUUUCCCAGUAAGAGAUUGGAAUUAUGGAUUUCUAGAAAAAGAUAUUGUAGAGGUAGUGUGCUUUUCUUAUGAUUUGUUUUUUUUCCUAUUAAAUUGCAUAUAAAAUGUUUAGAUGAUUCCAAGGUCAAAUUAGAGAUCUUUAAUCUCUCUUUCAUUCUAGUCGUCUUCCUAGUCUUUUUUCUCUUUCCCUAAAGAUAAGCAGUCUUUAUUGGUUUUUGGCUUAUCCUUCCAAUCUUUUUAAAAUACAAACAAAUACACAGACGCAUGCAUACAUACAUGCUGGUAUCCCUUUGUUCUCUCCCCCUUCAGCCCCUGUUCUUAGCUCCUGUAUAGAGUAAUGCUUAACAAUGACUUUUCUAUGGCUACUUGUAUUCAAGAUGAUUUCCUUAUUUUAAGUAAUUAAUUUUCUAACUAAUUAAAGCCUUUUCCUAUGCCUGGGCAAUGUUUACUACAUAUAUGUUUUCUUUUAAUUACAGAUAUUUUGCAAUUUGUUCCUGGAUGAAUGUUGCGUUUCUGCAUCAUUGGUUUGCAAGUAUUGGCGUGACCUUUGUUUAGAUUUCCAGUUUUGGAAGCAAUUGGAUCUUAGUAGUUGUCAACAGGUCACUGAUGAAUUAUUGGAAAAAAUUGCAUCAAGAAGUCAGAAUAUAAUAGAAAUCAACAUUUCUAAUUGUCGCAGUAUGUCUGACACUGGCGUAUGUGUUCUAGCAUUUAAGUGUCCUGGACUACUUAGGUAUACAGGGUACAGGUGUAAACAGCUUUCUGACACCUCUAUUAUUGCAGUUGCCUCUCACUGUCCUUUACUUCAAAAAGUACAUGUAGGCAACCAGGACAAACUUACUGAUAAAGGACUCAAACAGGUCUCUUCUGGUUCCAGAUGAAAUUUAGGAGUGAUUUCUCUAGCUCUAUAAGGUAUGUUGAUGGUAUUUCUAUUGGGAUUGCAUUGAAUCUGUAUAACAGUUUUGGGAGAAUGGCCAUCUUCACAAUGUUUCUUCUUCCUAUCCAUGAGCAAGGGAUGUUUUUCCAUUUUCUGAGAUCAUCUUCAAUUUCCUUUUUCAGUGUAUUAUAAUUUUCACUGUAUAAGUCUUUCACUUCUUUUGUAAGAGUAAUUCCUAAAUAUUUCAUUUUUUUGCUUGCUAAUGUGAAUAGUCCAGUUUUGUUUUUGCUUUCUAUAGAACAAUUUAUGAGUGAAAUGCUUUAUAAAGUUUUAAAAUAUAUUAAAGCAAUCACUUAUGAGGAAAUACACGUUUUAUGAAUGUAGCAUGAUUUUGCUUAUUUUGAUAGAAAUUUUCAGCAAGUUAGUUUCACAGUGAAAUAUUUUCUAUAAAGGUUUAUGCAGCAAGAACUGGAUUAAGUGUGUUACGUAUUUAAAUCUUUGUACACCACUAGGUACCAGUUUAGCAAAUUUCUGAGAAUGUUCCUUAUAAUAUUUGUGAAAUGGACUAUAAGCAUAGUUAUGGUUGAAGUAAGGAGAAAUUAGAAUGUUCUUUAAAGAUCAAUACUUAGUGUGUCAGUUAAGCAUUGUAAAUUUUACUAGUUUGAAAUUGAGUUUCAACGAACAUAUGAUGCAUUAUAAUUUGUUAAGUUGUUUAGAUGUUUACUUCAGAUUUUCAAGAUUUCUAAAUUAUGGAUAAGCUAUAUGAGGUAGUAUUCUCAUAGAAAUAGUAAAACAAUACCCCUUUAAUAUUUUUCUUCAGUAAUUUCACAGAAAUCUCAUUGAAGUGUACAUAGUAAUAUUUUCCUGUGCUUAAGGCUGUGCUGUAGGAAGAUAUAUCCUAUUUUAGAUACUUCUUUUGAUGGAGUAGUGUUAUGGGUAUAGUAAGACUAUCAUAUUUAUCUUUAUGUGCAAGUAUAUUGAUAUCUGUUUUAUUCUUUGAUUCUAUGUUAAAUUUGGGCCUUGAUCCCCACCCUCCUCUAUAUUAGCUUUAUGACCCAUUGGUAUUUGAUAAACUCUUCUGUAGAGUUUAUUAUGAUCUCAGUAAGCUGACAACUUUGAAGUAUAAUAAAGUUGCAAAAGCCAGGAGUAGAAUUACUCAUAAUGACUACAUUUCCUUAAGAUUAUUAUUUUUUCCUAACUCAGUAACUUGGUAGUUGACUGAGUUGUUGAUUUUACUGAUAAUUUUUUACUGUCAGUAAAGCUGGCAAAUGUUUUAGAAUGGUAUAUAUAUUAUUGAUAAUGACUUUAAAAUAUAGUAGGGUUUUAAAUGCUAUGAUUUUGAUGGACUUUAGCAAAUACUGAUCUGUUUGCUUUUGAAUUCUAUUAGUUUGCAAAACAAAGCAUUUCAUUUUGAGUGCUAAUGGAUCUACAGUUUAAGAUUUUAAAUAAAGUUUUGGAUUUUGCUUAACAAUAUAUAAGGGCUGGGGAUAUAGCUCAGUAGCACAAGUGUCUGUUUGAUUCCUCUACCAAAAAGAAAAGAAAAAGAAAAAAAUUAAAUAGUGUUUUAAUUAGUGCAUUGUAUAUCUAUCAUAAACAUCCUAUAAAAGUAUAAUUAUAUACCUGGAAUGUGUGUGUGUGUGUAAAGAGUAUUUACCUAAGAAUAAGUUGUUUAGUUUUUCUAAUAUUUCGUAACCAUCUAGCAUUUGUCAGAAAUCAAAUAAUAGCAAUAGUAAAAGUAUAAUAUUAAAAUAAAUUCAAGAAAUUACAUCUAUUAAGUUACUAUUGUAUAUGACUCACUGUUGCACGUCAGUUUAAUUUGUGGAUCUCAGUAAAAAUUUCUAGAACUGUGUUACUGUGGGUAUUUUCCAGAUUAAAAUGGUUCAAAAGAAUAAAUUUUGUCUUAGUAAAUUUCAACUUAACUAUACAAUGAAUUUUCAGCUUUUUAAAAAUAAAGAUUUAGAGUGGUAUCAGCAAAGUGUUGUAUUUAUUAGGUAGCUUUAAAAUUAUGUCUCUCUACAAAAACAUUGAAAAACAAGCCAGAACCAUUAGAAUAACGUUGUCAGAACUCUGGAAAACAAGUCAGAGGUUUAUAGCAACCAAGGAAAAGUUGAACCAAGAAAAGGGUAACUAAAAAAUGCCAGGAAUGCAUUGUGACUUUUUUGCUUGUCUUUGCUGCACCCUUUUCCCAACUUGGCAGUUGAUGUGAAGAGAGCAACUUAUAUUCCUAGUGUGUGACCUAGGUCUCUGGUGCCAAGCUAAACCGUAUUUGCAAAUUAUUGUAUUUGUCUUUCUAACACAUUUGGAAGCUACCCGAAGAGCUGUGACUAGUACUUAUGUAUCUGUGUUACCUAAUUUAGAACUUUGUCAGGGAUAAAAAGCAAAUGGGCAUUGAUUAGAAACAUAAGGCAAAUGAAAAAUCCUGCAGCUGUUUUGUGUAAAAAUUACAGUGAGACAUACAGUAGACUUCCUGAGGCCUGGGAAAAAGCCCGAGUCCUGGAUAAAUAUUUUUUUUGGGGGGGGGACACUUUGGUAGUUAAGGCAUUUAGAGCACUAGUACGUACAAGAAAAUUUAGAAAGCCACAUGCAUGCCCAAAAAACAUGAGACAGUCCGGGGAAGUAGCUCAGUAGCAUAAGCGUGUGCCUCGCAAGUGCAAGGUUGUCAUGAGUUCAAUUUUGGUUAAAAAAAAUAAAAAAAGAAAAACACUUAAAGACUAUAAAUGUUCAUCAUUGGGUGUUAAAUUCAGUAUCAACAGGAUCUAAGGACCAAGGCGAAAGUAGAAUCAGAAUCAGCAUUUGACCAAGAUACACACCCAGAUACUCAUCUUUCUUGUGCACAAUAACUAACUGCUGAGGCCAUAGAUGACUUAGACCCACCACAAAACUAGCUAGAAAGAGUAGGCAAAAGGUUUUGUUUUGUCAUAGUUUGUUUUUAAGCUUUUGAAUUUAAUAGAGAUCUCUUUCAAAAUACUGACUCUUUAACAAAUUGUUCUGAGAAAAAUGAGUAUCUGUAUAUAGAAGAUUGAAACUAGAUCCCUGUCCCUUUCCCUGAAUAAAAUCAACAAAAAAAUUGAUCAAAGACCUUAAUGGAAAACCUGAAACUUUGAAAUUACCAGAUUAAAAUAUAGGGUAACCAUUUCUUUUUUUUUUUGUCUUUUCCCUUUUUAUCGGUACCGGGGAUCGAACUCACAACUGCCUGCUUGCAAGGCAGGCGCUUAUGCCGCUGAGCUAAAUCUCCAGCCCAACCAUUUCAAGAUAUAGGUGUAGGAAGUGACUUCCUAAAUAGGACUUCAGGAGUUCAACAAAAAUAGCAAAAAUUGGCAAAUGGAAUUGCAUCAAAUUAAAAAGCUUCUGUACAACAAAGAAAAUAACAGUGAAAAGACAGCCUUCAUAAUAGUAGAAAAGUUUGGUCAGCUACUUUUGUGACAGAGGCUUAAUACCCAGAAUACUACGAAGAACUCAACAAACUGAACACCAAAUGAACAAGCAAUCAAAUCAAUAGAUGGCAAAUGAACAGAACUUCUUAAAAGAGUUACAAGUGACUAAGAAUUAUAUGAAAAGAUUGUUUAACGUCUUUAGCCAUCAUGAAAAUACAUAAUGAUAUUAAAAUUCGGUCUCACCUCAAUCAGAAUGGCUAUCAAAAGUAUAAAAAAUAAUAAAAUGCUGGUGAGGAUGAAGGAAAACUGUAACCCUAAAUUAGUAUGACCACUAUGGAAGUCAGGAUAGAAAUUCUCCAGAUCAAAAGUAGAAUGACCACAUGAUCCAACUAUAAUGUCCCAGCGUUUUUUUGAAGUAAUCAGAAUUAGCAUUUGACCGAGAUGCUUGGAUGCCCGUCUUAAUUGUGCCACUAUUUACAGUGGCUCAUCAGUGGAUAAUUAAAGAAAAUGUGAUAUUAUAUGCAUAAUGGAAGUAUGAUUUAACAAUAAAGAGCAAUGUAAUGUUGUUUUUAGGGAAAUGGAUGAAAGUAGAGAUUACGUUACGUGAAGUAAGCCAGCCUUAGACAAAUAUUCUACCUUUACCCCCAUAUGUGGAAUCAAGAAAUGAAGGAAAAAAAUAAAUUUGUUGAAAAGAUUAAAAAAAAAUGUGUCAAACUUUUAACUAGACUGACCUAUGGGGUUGGGAGAAGACAAAUUGCUCGAAUUACUAAAUCAUAAAUGAGAGUGGAUGUUACUCUUGACUUUGCAGAAAUAAAAAGGAUUGUAUUAAAAAACUAUAACUAGGGGGCUGGGGAUUUAGCUCAGCAGCAUAAGCACCUGCCUUGCAAGCAGGCAGUCGUGAGUUCAAUCCCCGGUACCGAAAAAGACAAAAAAAAAAAAAAAAAAAAAGGUAAAACUGUAACUAUUCAUCAACAAAUUGGAUAGCCUAAAGUGGACGAAUUUCUAGAAAUACAAAAACUAUAAAAAAUGAUUCAACAAGCCUGCUGUGGUGAUUCAUACCUGUAAUCCAUGCAGUUGGGAGGCUAAGACAAAAAGAUUGCUGUGAGUUUGAAGCCAGCCUGGGCUACAAAGUGAGUUUAAGGCCAGGUUGAACUAUGUAGAGAGAUGCUGUCUCUCUCUCUCUCUCUCUUUUUUUUUUUUAUGGAUACCAGGGAUUAAACUCAUGACCAUGUGCUUGCAAAGCAGGCGCUUAUGCCGCUGAGCUAAAUCCCCAGCCUGAGAGAUGCUGUCUCAAAAAACAAAGAUUUAAAAAUUGAUUCAAGAGUUAGAAAACCUGAAAAAAAUCUGAAUAGAGUUACAGAGUUAUAAAAAGUCAGGACAUACAAUUAGUUCACUUAAAAAAUCCUCGCAGGAAAGAAAAGCCAAGCAUCAAGUAUCUUUAUUGAUUAGUUUUACCAAACAUUUAAAGAGGAAUUAACUGUAAUCCUUCUCAGACUCUUGCAAAAAGUUCAGGCAGCUCUUCCUACUUUGAUGAGACCUUUGUUACCUUGAUUGUGAAAUCCUAUGAAAACACUACCAAAAAAAACGAAGGCAACUAUAGACCAAUAUCUUUAAUGAUUGUGCAGAACUUGCCUGUAAAGUGCUAACAAAAUGAAUCUGGCAGCAUAUUAAAAAGAUUACACAUCAUGAUCAAAUGCAGCUUAUCCCAUAUGUAGAAGCAUGAUUCAGUACACAAAACCAGUCACUGUAAUAUGCCGCAAUAACAGAUUUCAGGAGAAAAACCAACAUAAACAUCUUAAUUGGUAGAGAAGAAUUAUUUGGAAAAAUCAACACCAUUUUAUGAUAAAAGUACCUACCGAACAAGAAAUAAAGCAAUACUUCCUUAACAGUAUUAAAAGCCCCAUGUGACAAAACCAGAGUUGAUACACUGGUUGAAAAUGGCAAACUUUCCCCUUAAGAUCAGGAAUAAGACAGGCACGCUUGCUUUUUUAUUUUUAUUUUUUUCUUAAAUAAAUUAGUAUUUUAAGAAGAUUAAAUGAAAACAAAACAAGCAAAACAAAGCAAUGGAAACAAUAUAGAAUUUUAAAACAAGCUGAUAGGAAAUUAACAAUGAUUACUAUAUUACAUAUUGUUACCUUCAAAAUAGUUGCUCAGAUUACAUAUGGACAUACAAAACAGAUCAAACAUUAUAAGCAAUCAUAGUUUCUUUCCCUGAACUAACAGGACCAAUAGCACAGUUAUCUUAGCUAUCAUAUAUAUAUUGUUUUCCUUUCCUUCUUUUCUCUUUUUCCCCAUCCCAGUUAUUUUUUUUUUCCUUUUGAGCAGUUUUAUUCCGUUUCACAAUACUGUGGUAUGUUUUUGGAUCUAAUUAAAUCUUUCAGUAUCUUACAUGAUGGAGACAAUAUGAUGUCUACACAUGAGAGUCUGAUAAGACAAAAUAUGGUCUCUACUUGCAUUCAUUUACCUGUAAAUGUCUCCAGUUUAUCUUUCUUUCUAGCUGAAUAGUACUCCAUUGUAUAAAAAUAUCACAUCUUUUUUAUCCAUGUCUCAAUUGAUGGGCAUUUGGGUUAUUUCCAAGAUUUAGCCAUUACAAAUUAACACUUGCUUUUUUAGUGCUUCUGUUUUACAUGGUGCUAGGAAUUCAAACCAGACUAAUCUGACAAGAGGUAUAAAAUACUUUAAAAAAGUAAAAUAAUUUCUAUUUCUAGAUGUCAUGCUUUUAUGUAUAGAAACCAUAAUUCGUAAACUUUUUGAAAUAAUCUUUUCAGUAGAGUGCCGGACUACAAAAAAUUAGUUGUAUUUCUACAUACUACAUACUUGAAUGUAACUCAAACAAUUCCAUUUAUUGUAAUACCCCUAAUUAUAAAUUCCCCUUUGAAUGCUACUUUUGCUUCAUUCUGUACAUUCUGACACAUUAUACUUUCAUUUUAGUUUAGUUGAAAAUAUUUUUAGAAUUUCUCUUUAAGGAGGGUGGUUGUACAUGCCUGUGAUCCCAGCAUUUGAGAGGCUGAGGCAAGAGGAUCAUUGCAAUUUGAAACCAGCAUGGGCUACAAAGUGAGCUCAAAGUUGGCCUGAAUGGCCUGAACUGCAUAAUGAGACUUUCAAAAGACAAAAAGACAAAAAAAAAAAAAAAAAAAAAAAAAAAAAGAUUGCUUUUGAGAUUUCUUUGACACAUUUAGGAGUAUGUUGUUUAAUCUCUUAAGUAUUUUUGGGACUUUCUGGUGAUCUGUUAUUGAUUUCCAGUUUAAUUCCACUGCUGUCUGAAAGCAGAUGCGGCAAUUUCUGUCUUUUUAAAUUUGUUAAGUGUGUUUUAUGUCCUAAGAUAUAGUCUGCGUGUUCCAUGUGAGCUUGAGAAAGAUGUAUAUUCUGAUGUUGUUGAAUGAAGUAAUCUGUAGCUGUCCAUUAUGGCUAGUUCAUUGUUAGUGGUGUUGGAAUUGAAUUACAUAUUUACUCUUUUUUGCCUUCUCAAUCUGUUCAUUUCUAAUAAGAUAUCAGAGUUUCCAACAAUAAUAAUAGAUUUAUCUAUUUUUCUCCUACAGUUUAGUCAGUUUUGCUUCACAUAUGCUUCACAUACUUUGUUUUUAGGUGCAUACAUGUUAAGAGUUACUAUGUCUUCUUGAACUGUGGUCCUUAUUUGUAUGUUUACCCCUGAUAACUUUUCUUUCCUAUCUGAAGUUAUAAUUUUUUAAAGUUAGUAAUUAUAAUUUUUACAUUUUUGGAGGAUUGCUUUUAAGAAUUUUUUUCUUAAUUUAUAGUAUUACUGGGAAAUUUUUAUGCCUGAUUAAUCAUUUUGGAAGUAAUUUGAAUUUAAAAAUUUUAUUUGCUGCCUAAUUUUUAAAGAAAUGGUCCUAAUUUUUAAAGAUAGUUUUAAAAAAACUUACUUUACAGCAGUUUUAAAUUCAUAGGGAAAUUGAGAGAGGCACAGAUUCCAAUAUACUCCCCGUUCCUACACAUAACAUGGUUUCCCUCAUCAGCAUCUCCCAUCAGUGUAACUUACUUAUUGUAGCUCAUAUACUUGCAUCAAACAGCAUUAUCCCUAAGUCCAUAGUUUAUCUGUGGAUUCUGUAUGUCUUGUGGGUUUCAGCCAAUAUACAAUUACAUGUAUGUACCAUUAUAGUAUCAUGCAGAGUAUAUUUACUGCCUUAAAAGUCCUUGGUUCUAUGCCUAUUCUUUUGUACUCCUCUCUAACCUCUGGCAAUCACUUAUCUUUAAAUUUGUUUCAUAGUUUUAACUUUUCCAGAAUAACUCUGAUUCUAAUUGGAAUCAUAGAAUAUGUAGUCUUUUCAGAUUGGAUUCUUUCACUUAGUAAUAUGCAUUUAUGAUUGCUGGAUCAUAUAGUGAGAGGUCUUACCUUUUAUGGUGGAUUCAUCUAACUAUCCUGUGGUUCCUCUGUGUCUUUUCAUAGUAUAUAUAUAUGUAUGUAUAUAGUAUAUAUAUAUAUAUAUAUAUAUAUAUAUAUAUAUACUAUUGUAUAUAUAUAUGUGUAUAUAUAUAUAUAUAUAUAUAUAUAUAUAUGGCACUGGAUAAUAUCCCAUUAUAUGUGUGUACCAUAGUUUAGUUAUCCUUUCAAUUUCUGAAGGACAUUUUGGUUGCUUCCAAGUUUUGGCAAUUAUGAAUAAAGUUUCUAUAAGCUUCUGUACAUGGGAUUUUGUGUGGAUAUAAGUUUUCAGCUUUACAGAAAUACCAAGGAAUAUGAUUGCUGGAUCAUAUAGUGAGACUUCUUACCUUUUAUGGUGAAUUCAUCUAACUAUCCUGUGGUUCUUUAAUUUUUGCCUCACAUACUCUGAAUCUUGUUAUUUUCUGAGACAAGGUUCUGACGUUGUAUAGGCUGGGCUUUAACUUGCUGUGUAGCCCAGGCUGGCUUUGAAUUUGUAGUCAUAGUGAUCCUUUGCCUCAACUUCCCAAAUGCCGGAAUUAUAGGCAUGUACCAUUGCAUCUGGCAUGUAUUUUGAUUAUUUAGUGUACAUACACUAAAAAUUGCCAUGUCUUUUUGGAGUGUAAUGUAAUGUUCUUUUUUUUUUUUUAUCUUUGCAGACUUUCUGAAAUUACUGUAGCUUCUCUUGGUAUUUUAGGUAGUGUAAGGGAUUGAGCCCAGGGUCUUGUAUGUUAGGCAAGUGCUGUCAUUGAGCUACAUCCCUAAUAGCCACCUAGCCUAUCCAGGGUUGGGUCGGGUCAAGUGGGUCUUGUCAUUUCAUUUUCUUUCCUUUUUUUGCUUUUCUUUCUUUGAGACAGAGUAUUGCUAAGUAGUAAAAUUGCCCAGGGUGUGUUCCAUAUUUCAGUCCUCCUGCCUCAGCCUACCAGAGCUCUGGGAUUACAGGUGUGCGCCCUGUGCGCAGUACAGGGAUAUUUUUCACAGGGGUUGUUUGCGGCCAUCUGAAUAUUUUUCAGAGGGUUGUAAACAGGUGAGAGAUUUGAAAGGUAUCAGCAAAAUUGAGAAUACAUUGAAUAUAAUUAUUGACUUUAUGUGCCUGCAUAGUCUGGAGUUUAGAUUAUGUAGACGAUAAUGUAAUGUAUUUUUUCCAGUGAUAUCUAAAAUGAAACAUUAGUUUCUAUAGUGAUAUUAAAUGACAUUUAUAUUCAGUAGUAGUGAGUAAUAAUUACUUGUCUUCUGAGGCAUCUUCAUUAUUAGCUUUACCAUGUUAUACUGAUCAUUUCUGCAACUAUCAUGCACGUGGUCCUAUUUUUAUAUGAUUAGCAAUGUGUCUUGCCUCUGAAAAGUAAUUUCCCUAUGGAUAAAGCCAACAAAACUACAUAUUGAUGUCAGCAUAUCUUGUAAUUAGUGUAUCUUUUUUCUGUCUAUAACAGUGUGAUUUAUAGGUCUUAACAUGAGGUUCUACCAAGUUGUGCACACAGUGAUGUCUGAGACUCAGCCGAAAAGCUUAGUUACAUCUUAUAUGUUAAUUCUGCUUUAUUUCUGUGUUUAUUCCUGAAAUACUGGGUGCUGAGUUCUCGAGAUCUGUGUUUUUCUGCCCAAGAUGUGGUAAAAUUGAUAAAUGAGAGAAAUAGUGAUAGAGAAAAAAACACAAACCUUAUUAUUCAGAAACUCUAAGAUGAAGAAUGUUGCUUACUAGAUGGAGCUGAAUGAGGUUGUUAACUUGACUCUGAAAUUUGACCAGAUGACUUAGUCAUUGACUAGACCAGACCAGCAGAGUGGCCCCUAUUAAAGAAGUGAGGAUUACUUACUUGGUCUGGGCAACUUGUUCCUAAAGAGAGGUGUGGAGAUGAAUGAACAUGUUUCCUUUAUUAAAUAAAAAUUAGUGUUAAGACUAGGAAUUAGAUUAACAGGACUUCCUCCAGAUGGAGAAAGUAGUUUUGUCAUGUUUAUUUGUAUUUUUAUAAAUAGUCUACUUUGGCUACAUAGAUGAUUUCUAGCCAUGGAAGAAUUUAGUGAAUUUAUCCUUCUCUGUCUCUUUAUCCUCUAAUUCGGUCAUAAUUUUUAUUUUGUUAAGUAAGUAUUUUGUAUUCACAUUUCAAAAUCAUUUGCCCAUUAUUUUUUCAAUCACAAAAUUCUGUUUUUUUGGAAUUAAUAAUUUUUUUCUUCUUUAGCUGGCUUGUAUUCUCUUAACACGGAUUUCUAAGAUUUCCUAGUCUGGGCUUCCUUUUUUUUUGAGGCAGGAUCUCAUUAAGCAGUUCAUACUGUUGUUGAACCCAGGCUUGGUCUUGAAUUUACAACAAUCCUCCUGUCUUAGCCUCCUGAGUGCUGGGAUUACAGGCAUAUGCCACCACGCCUGGCACUAGUCUGGACUUCUUGCAUGUAAAUGUUGUUGCAUUUCAUAAGUCAUCUUAAUAUUUUACCUCCAACAUUAACCUGAGUUGUUCUUUAUUUUGAUGUUGAGGUAGAGCUCAUUACCCAGAGGUCUUUUCCUCUUUCUUUUGGUAUAUUCUCAUGUUUUGUAGAGCGCAGUUUCUAAUUACAUCUUAAUAAGUGUGUAUGGGAAAUAAAUAUUCUGAGGACUUCUGUACCUGUAAAUAUGUUGAAUUCUACCAGCACAGUUAAUUCAUGGUCUAAAUCAAGUGCCUAUCUUUAUAUUAGAAAUAGUUUUCUUUUUGAAUUUGAUGGCAUUGCUUUGUUGCUUUUAUUGUUGGUAAGAUGUUUGGAGCAUUUUAAAGUCGAAAUCCUUUUCACGAAAUCUGUCAUUCUCUGGAAGUUCAUGGAAUCUUGUUGAUAGCUAGGAUAAUAGAGUCUUAUGAUAAUUUGCAUUGCCACAGGUCUAUCAUUUGUGAUAGACAUUUGGAUGACUUUUUCAGUUUGGAAGUUCAUAUCCUUUCGUCCUCGAAAACUGAAUACAAUUAUUUAUUAGGGUUUAACUGCUACUUAAGCUGAUUUUCAAGAGUUGUAGUGGUUUUAUUCCCAGGGUCAACCUUGUAUCCAGACGUAUGUGAACCUGUUGUCUGUAGCAUACUUACUGUUCUGAUUUUGCCAAUAUUGGUUUUGGAUUCAGGGUCAUAAAUGUAGCUAACCUACUGUGAUGUUUUGUUCAUAUUAUGUGAAAUGCUAAAGUUGGUAGGAGAGAAUGUGAAGAUAAAUUCAAAUUCUUUAUCAACUCUUCUGGGAACUUGAGCGCUGUCAAUGGACCCAGACUCACGGGAAAUAAAAUGUGAAUUUGAAUGAUAAGGAAUCUUAAGUACUUGAUGGACAUCCUGUGAAGUUAUUGAAACAUCUGGGAUCAAAAUGCAGAGAACUCAGAGAUACUCAUUUUGACCAGUGUUACAAGAUCUCAGAUGAAGGCAUGAUCAUCAUAGCUAAGGGCUGUCUGAAAUUACAAAGAAUAUACAUGCAAGAAAACAAAUUAGGAAGAAGUCAGAAGCGAAGAAGCUCUAAAGAAGGACUCAGAAAGAAAGUGUCUUUAAAAAAGGAGAGAAGGUUAUGCCGAACACUUAGCACAAGUGGCCUUGAGAACCAGAGGCUGAUGACUCUGAAGCCCUUGCUUCCAUCGUCAUGUGUCUUUUUGCACACCUGAUCCAGGCAAUCCCAUUUGCCAGACUCAGCAUAUUGUCACGUCAGAAGAUUGGUACCGGCUGCAGGGCACAGCCUGACGGUAGAUCUCUCAGUUGACUUUCCUGCUGUCCUUUGCUCCUGACCUUGUUCUUCGGACCUUUACAAAAGGUGACCUUUACAAAAAGGUGACCUUUACAAAAUGGUGACCAUAUCACACUGCCCAAGUCUGAGGCCAGCAUAGGAGAUACCAAAUGCAGACCUGCCAUCUGGUUCCCUCACAGCCUUGCAGCAAAGCACAUAGAGUGAUUGCUGACCCAUAGAUCACUAGUUGUUUCUUAUGGAUGACAGGCUUUGCCUUUGGUAAGAAGUUUUACACUUGCGAAGCAGGGUCUGUGCAGCAGAGCUACAUCCCUGUGCUGGCUUUGCCUUUGAAGUUGUGGCGUCCUAUUGACUGGGAAAAAUCCUGCUAGAACUGUGGUGACCCAGAGGAGCAUGCAGCUUGGGUGGGCACAACCAGGGACAGAUUGAGAACAGAGGUGUUUGUCCCAGUAAGUGCAGGAGUUGCUCCUAGUGGAGAGUUUGCAAGGUCAGUGGGCCAUGACAGGAUUGUGGGGUUCUGAACUGUGUUCUGCACUCCUGCUGGGUUUUGCUAUGCACUGUGGAUGUGCUAAUGCACCACAGAAGCACUUUGCUGGUGAGUGGGGAGGACCUCCUAGUUUUGCUUGUGAUGACACAGCCCCCUUCUUGCCCACACAGCCCCUUGUAUAUGCCCAUGUGAGGCCUCCACAGCUGCAAGGCUAAGUCCUCCCAGUACCUCCUCUGCUCCAGCUAACUGGGCACUGUCCACCAUUUGCAUUUCCAAUUACAUUUUAAAAUCAGCUUGCUAGUGCUUGUGUGUGCACACUCAUCUACAGUCUCAGAGAAAUAGAAUAUCCUAGAAUUGUGUUCAAAUUGGCCUGAAAUGCACAGGUAAAAUGGGAGACGACUUAGCCCUUUUCAUGUAGAACCUUCACUCACCUGCUCAGAUCUAGCCCACCAGUCACAUAGAUCGUCUUCAACCACUCUCAGCAAUCCUUUGCAUAUUCUCAGGGUUUAUAUUAUGCUUUCACUUCUUCUAGAGGCAGAGUCUUGAUACAUAGUUCAAGCAGGUCUUCAACACAUGAUGUAAUCCGGGCUGGCCUUGAACUUGGAACGAUCUGCCUUUUUCAGACUGCCAAGAGUUGAAAUGACAAGAUUGCUCCACUAUGUCUGGAUAAAUCAUGCAUUUCAGGAAAAAUAAACUGAAGAGCAUGCGGUUCGGUUUGUUUGUAUCCCUCAUGUGGUCUGUGUGGUCCUCUAUCAGUAUUGUGAUCUCUGACUGUGUCAUGAAUGAGUUGUCCCUGGGUUGGUGUAGUAAGUCUAGCAUGUGAAAAGUGGCAAGAAGAAGAUGGUAUUGGGCUGGAGGCUCAAGCAGGGUGAAGAUUAGGGAGUCCACUGGUGGAAGGAGUGUCUGGGCAAAGUGUCUUAACAUUCUCCAGGGGCUCUGGUUACUCAGUGGCUGAAAACAAGACAAAGAAGUGUGUCUUUUGCAGGAGCCAAGCUAAGGGCACACCCUGAGAAAGCUGAAGUGAAGGACCAGAUGGAAGAAAUUUGAAACAAGUGGAGCAGGAAACUUGCCCGGAAUGGAAACAGUAAAGUCUUCCAGGCACAGCGUGAACCAAGCAGUGUAGUCAGGAGGAAAAAGGAUUCCACAGUGGAUUUGUGCACCUGGUCCAGGAGCUCACCUAUGUGUCCCCUGGAAGCACAACUCCAAGAGAGGGAAGGGCAACCAUGGAUCCCCAAUCUUGUUUCCAUGGAUUAGAAUUUGGAGCCGCCCUCUCUGGAGAAACUUAGCAGGUACUUAGGCCUCAGUUGGGAACUGUGCAUCCCCGUUUGUGUUGAUUUUUCAUCUUGUUUCCCAGCAGCUGCAUCACCUGUCUGAAGGGUCAAGAUGCCACAGAGAAAGUGAAGCGGCAGGAUGCAGUGGAAGAGAGGGAACUGUGUUGAUGUACAGAGAGCACUUUGGUGGCCUUCAGCAGUGCUGGUGACCCUUGAAGAAAGCAUCAUAUCCAGAUGUCCACCAUGAUGACCACAUAUACCAGAAGACUAAUAGGACCAGUCGCUUCUGUUGACCUUACAGAAAGGGACGGGAGCUGUCACUCUGGUGUGCUGUCUGGACCCACAGACCCCAGCAAAGGCAUCUGGGCUCUUACACACACACAGCCCUUUGCUUCCUGCUGCUGAGCUGCUUGCCCAGCUGUCUCCAGUUCCCUGCAGCACCAGCUCUGCAAAACGAUCUCUUCAGGCCUCUCUGGGCGGGAAGAGGGGCAGGGAGCUCACAGCCAUCAGCAGCUCCUGCGUGGCAGGGAGCAGAAAAGGUAGAGGCUGAGUGCCUGCAGCUGGCCCAGCAUCUCUAACAGCUGCAGGGGAACUGUUGGGGGGAUGGGUCCGCAGCACAGCAGGGGCAAGAAGCCUUCCUGGUGUGAGACCCUUGCCAGCUCAGCUUUCAGCGGCCAGGGCCUGGGCAGGCCCAGAACAUAAGCGCUGGGGCUCAAAGGGCUGUGAGCCCUGGGAGGCUCAGCCUGGAGAGAGGGCGGGGCUCCCUGGUGGGCAUCGUGUGAGGGUUGGGGGCCGAGAGCGGGCCCUGCCUUUUAGAGACAGUGUUUGUUCCCAUUAAAAGUGACAAGCUCAGUAGAAUCAAGUUUACCUUAUUAUGUUCAUUAAAAAUGUGGAUAUUUUUAUUAAAAAAAAAUUGGCCAACAGGGCAAA